rnacentral:tmRNA from 1 species
GCCCUUCAAUUCCCGCCGCCUUUGACCUAUAUUCUCUCUGUCCGGUUUCGGCCGGACUAUGGCGAUAAACGUGCCUGUAAUAAGCGGACCGGACCCGGGUGCGAUUCCCGGCGGCUCCACCAUUCUCUCCCGGUUAUCAGCGGGUUAGUGCGGGGCCGACU